rnacentral:rRNA from 1 species
UACGAAGGGGCUAGCGUUGCUCGGAAUCACUGGGCGUAAAGGGUGCGUAGGCGGGUUUUAAGUCAGGGUGAAAUCCUGGAGCUCAACUCCAGACUGCCUUUGAUACUGAAGAUCUUGAGUCGGGAGAGGUGAGUGGAACUGCGAGUGUAGAGGUGAAAUUCGUAGAUAUUCGCAAGAACACCAGUGGCGAAGGCGGCUCACUGGCCCGGUACUGACGCUGAGGCACGGAAA